AUGGGGCCGCGGUUUCCUCUCCUGGUGGCCGCGCUGGGCAGCUGCCUGCUUCCUGCCCUGGGUUGUCUCUGGUGUGAUCAAAGGGUCGUGGAGGCUCUAAAAUCCUUGGAGACGGAUUACUUGCCCGACCACUUGGGGGCUGAGCAUCACAAACACCUGAUGGAAAAGUUAGAGAAUGCCGUGAAGGAUUUCAAGAACCUGGAGCUUGAGGACGACGAAUCCUUUCUGGAGGUCGUCGAUGAUGCCACACUGGAAAAGGGAACCUGGAGUUUUCUGAAGGAACUGAAACGCAUCACGGACAGUGACGUAAAAGGUGAGCUCCUCGUGAAGGAGCUGUUCUGGAUGUUGAAGCAGCAAAAGGAAACCUUUGGCAGACACGUUUCUCUGUUCCAAAAAGAUGCUCUCUGUCCCAACAAAUGCGGUAUGAUGUUGCAGACUCUGACCUGGUGCGAUUCCUGCGAGAAGAAGCUUCACGCUUGUCGGAAGAACAUGGAUUGCGGGGAGCGCAGAGUCAAUGUCCAUGAAAUGGAAGACAUGAUCCUGGACUGUGAGCUCAACUGGCAUCACAUCUCUGAAGGCCUGACUGAUUACACCUUUUACAGGGUUUGGAAGAACAAAUCUGAGAGCAUGGUGUACAAGGGGACAGCGCCCACCCUGACCAAGACCAGGGCGACGCCGUCGGAUGCGGGCAUCUACCGCUGCCAGCUGGACACCGUGAAAAACAGCCCCGCCACGAUCAUCCGUUAUCAUGUCAGAGUGUUGCCCAAAAGAGUUGUGGAGGAGACGCCGUCCACAAACAUCAUCCCAAACCCGGAGGAUGUGACCCUGGAUGAGGUGACUUGGACGCCCAACAAGUCGGCCACCACCAUCCCGCCUCCUCCGUCGUCGCCGUCUUCCGCGGCGCAGUCCCCGCAGUCCCCGACGGUGGAGAACAUGCUGAGAAGCCUCCUGGUCGGGCUGCUGAUCUGGGGCUUUGUGGUGCUGAUAGCCAGCAUUGUCAUCUUGUGAGCAGCCUGCAGAGAAAGGCAGGGCUUGGCGUGAGGGGCGGGACUUCCAGUCCAGAGGAUGCUCUGCUAUUGGUCCGAGAAGAAUCCUGGAUACUUCAUUGAUUCCAUAAAGUCCUGGGUCAGCACUGCCAAGGAGGCAGCUCAGAGCCCCAACGUUCCAGAGAAAAAGGACAAAAAAUCUAGGAGCCAAU